CCAGGUAGUUGUAUCUGCUGAAGUCCCGCUCCAGCUUGAGUUUGCAGAGGAAGUCUUCCGAUGCACCAGACAGGAUCUGAUAGAAAAUAUGAAAGUUUCUUUCACCUCUUGGCUGCUUAACAACACGAGACUUCUCCAGCAGAUAGUUGCUUAUAACUCCUCCGAGUGGAUCACCCUUGAAAUCAAACUCAAUAUCCAUGUAUUUUCCAAAUCUAGAGGAGUUGUCAUUCCUCACAGUUUUGGCAUUUCCAAAAGCUUCAAGAACAGGAUUUGACUGCAGAAGUUGUUCUUUCACUUGGUUAACCUCUGCCCCCUUGCCACAUACAGCAGCUACGUAUGACAUGACAAACUUGCUUGCCUCUGUUUUUCCAGCUCCACUCUCUCCUGUAAUAAGAAUACACUGGUCUUUGUCCUGGUCUCUUAAAGAUCGAUACGCUUCGUCUGACAGAGCAAAGAUGUGAGGGCUGAGUUCAUAGAAGUUCCGGUUUCUGUAUUCUUCAACUUUCUCUGGAGUAUAAAUGGGGAGAGGUCUGUAAGGGUUUAUUGAUAUCACCACGCUGCCAAUGUAUGUAUAUACUUCAUUGUGAUCAAAGCGCUUUUUCAGAUUAUUGAUGAAUGAAUCUUCAUUAAGCGGCUCUAAAAGAACCAUAUCUCCCACCCCUAUCAUGUAAUCUAAAAGUGACGUCUUGACCUCCAUUUUGGCCAUUUCCUUAGACAUUGAGGCUAGGAAGCUUCUUCAGACUCUCAGAGCUCAGAUGGCUUAGCCCAUAUAUGUUUAACUGCUCCCAAAAAUGACCUCUGUCCAUCAACCAGC
rnacentral:lncRNA from 1 species